UACGGAGGGGACUAGCGUUGUUCGGAAUUACUGGGCGUAAAGCGCACGUAGGCGGAUUUGUAAGUCAGGGGUGAAAUCCCGGGGCUCAACCUCGGAACUGCCUUUGAUACUGCAAAUCUCGAGUCCGGAAGAGGUGAGUGGAAUUCCUAGUGUAGAGGUGAAAUUCGUAGAUAUUAGGAAGAACACCAGUGGCGAAGGCGGCU
rnacentral:rRNA from 1 species